AUAGACCUAGUACUUUCUGCAAGUGAUACAUUUACAAGUUCACCGGUUAUGUUUACAAAUGACAAGGAGAGGUGUUUAAGGGACUUGAUGCAGGAAACGCCGAAAGGGCUUCUAAAUGGCUUAUCUGGAAAGAUAUAACUGGCAGCUGAGGAAUACAACUUUUAACCGAAAGAAAAGGUGCAAUUAUGGACCUAGUACUUUCUGCAAGAGAUACAUUAACAAGCAAGGGUGCAUGCCUCAAACGAAUACUGUCACAGAAACCCAACAUUCCCUUAUAAAUAAAUGAUACGAGAUUAGGAGCCCAAAUCUCAACUAAUCCUAAAGACGUACACUCACUUAUUUGUAGGAAAUUCAACCGGAGUGAUGAACCAGCAACUUUCAAAUUUACUAAUUGAUCUGAGCAAGAAAUGCAGAGAUGCUCAAGGAGUUCACAGUAGGAUAGAAAGUGCUAAACAAGUUCGCCGGUUAUAUUUACAAAGGACAAAGAGAGGUGUUUAAGGGACUUGAUGCAGGAAAUACCAAAAGGGCUUCUAAAUGGCUUAUCUGGAAAGAUAUAACUGGGAGAAGAAAAACGAGACCGUCUGCCUGCUUCCAAAUCUAUCUCAAGGCCUUGAACUCUCCUCCACAUUGCAAAUUCAAUCCAAUUGUCGAUUUCAGAACUACUAGGACUGUAAUCGAGUGAGGAAGAACGAAUUUUGAAUUCAUCUAAGGAUGGACCCUGGUGCAAUUGCAAGACUUGAUUCACCCAAUUGUAACUAGAUGUUGUUUUCACUCGUUGCCUUCUUUUCUUCUGUGGUUUGGAUAAUGCAUCUAUAUCAUCGAAGUUGAGACAAGUAAUCUGUUUCCACACACAGAUCCACCUCUUAGAGAGGACACGAGUUCUUGCUGCUUCCCUGAUACCCAAUAAGGAAAGAAUGCUAAUUAGAAUGACAUCUGGUAGCUGACUGAUCUGAUCCUCCUCCGAAUAAUUAUCUUCCUUAUCACCCAAAUUGAUUGGAAUCUUUUGUCGUUUCCCAUAUGUCCAUCCAGAAUGCUUAGCCUUUCUUUUCGGCAUGGAAGUUAGAACACCCUUGUUAUUAAUUUACUCUCUUCUUAAAUAUUACAAUGUAAUGAAAUAAGCUGCAGAAGUGGAGCGAACCGAUUGUUACUAAAACCAACUAUCAAACACAUGAAAAGAAGCGAACAUCUAUAAUAAACGAAGGCGGCGAAAAAGUUGGGUUCGUGAAUACAAAUAAUCUAAGCUAGUGACUCUAGCAGUGAAACCUUAAAACAAAGAAAAGAAGACAAGGCUGCAGAUUAAAAGCUGGUGCUGGUGUUUUUCAUUCACAACAACGUUUAUGAAAUCACACUUGUAUUUGAUUCCGCGUAAAUAAAAAGCAGGGAGGAAGCCAAUAGCUGAUUAAAAGGCCCUGCUUUUCAUUCAAAACUUUGCAAUCUAGAAUUACCAAAGCAGCUACCCUAUUAUUUAUAGGCAGCAAACCGACUAAAAUCCACCAAAUCCAAAUCCAAAUCCAAACCCAAGUCCAACUGGGAAACUACAUUCCUAUUUCCCUCUUUUUAAAGGAGAAGCGGAACCUUUUCUACGUAUUUGGUACAACUACAACAUCUAUAGACAAUUUUGGAUGUAAGCCAUGGAACAUAAUUGCGCCUUUGAAAGAGUAAAUCUGACACUGAUAGGUAUUUUGAUUUCAAAAGCUGGCGAAUUUGAUUGAAAAUCGUCAUGUAACUCAAAACUCCAAACUUAUAACAGGAAAUGAAGUUACGCAAAUCGAAAGGGAAGAACUUACUUAUUUGAGGGGUGGACAGCCUCGGCAUAUCUGCAACGCCUCUAGCCGCGAAGGGAAAUGGGAAAUGGGGAAAUGGGAAAGUCAUCAACAUGGUUUACCCUGUCCCCCAGAUGGGAUCUCUGUUUUGAGCUGGCUUUCUUUACUGUUAUUUGGUUGGGGUCGAGCCAGUUUACUAAACUCCGACGGAGCCUUAGAUUUGUCUAGACUCUAGCCCUUAGUGUAAUUGGUUUCUGUCUGUGUUCUUGCCGACUCUGCCAGCUGUGUUGUAUUUGUUUCCCUUCUGGGCUGUUUUAAAUACAACCACCUCUUUCAGAACUGAAAAAUAAAAUAAAAACGACCAACUCUCUGGCGGGUUUCACCUUGAUUUUUGUUUGGAGGGGUAAAAUGGGAAUUUCAAACGUAAGUUGGGUCUAAAAUUAAAUGGACCCAACUCGGUCCGGUCCAUUUAGUAAUUCCUACACAAAACUUACAAGUAGAGGCCCGCCCAAGAAGGCUUAAAAAAAACAAAGGCCUAGCCGGUCGGCGAGAAACACAUGAAGGGCUCGUUUGGGAAUGCUUCUUUAUGAAGCGCUUAUGUAAGUAGCGCUUAUGCCAGUAGCACUUAUGACAUAAGGGCUUCUACAAAGAAGAAGUUUGUUGUUUGGAUGUUACAUUUAAAAGUGCUUUCCCAAAAUAUUAUAAUAAAUAUAGGAAAUAAAAAUUAACAGGAUUCCAAAAUAAAAACACAGCUUUUAAAAGUUGUGAAAUGUAAAGAUAGUGAUGGAUUAAUAGAAGCUUAAAGGUUUCCAUGGGUGUUUUGGCGUCUGUUGGCCUUUUCACGGGUAGUGUUUUGGUUUUAAUAGGAGAGAAAAAGUGAGGAAAAAAAAAGAAGAAAGGAAGGGUAUCUUGGCAUUUAAAAAAAAUUAAAUAUAGGUAUUUUCGGCAUUUUAAAAGUUUCAUUAAAGGGAGCCAAGUGCUUCCCUUGUUUUUGUCCUGCAACGCUUUUAAGAAGAAGCACAUCUCAAGUGCUUCUUCUAAAACCACUCCACGUGCUUUUGGAUCUCACCCAAAAAGCUUUUGCAAUUUUUGCCAAACACCAUUUUUAAAAGACAGAAGCGCUUUUACUCAUUUAGAAGCACUUUUCGCUGCUCCAAAAGCACUCCCAAACGAGCUCGAAUACUAAGAAACUAGCUUCUUCGCAUGCGCUUCUACGUCUGAGAGAGGCUUUUAAAAAAAAAAAUAAAAGAAUUAAAAAUAAUAAUAGGUAGUUGUGUUCCAUAAAAAUAUGACAUAUUAUCUAAUUUUGUUUUAAUAUGAAAAAAAAUGAAUUUACCAUAUUAUCCUCAUUUAAUUAAUACUUUCAAUUCUUAAUGUUUGAAUUAACCAAAGACAAUUUCUCUGCUAAUUUUUUUUAAAAAAAAUUUCAAAGGGUGAAAUUGGAGUGUCAAAUCUAGCUAGAACAAAAAGUUUAAUUUCUUAUAAAAAUAAUACACAUGGCAAAUUUUGUGUAAGAACCCAAACCAAAAUAUCUAAAAAUUAAGAUUUCUUUAUUCCAACCAAAAGACGAUUUUGCCCUCGCAUAUUUUAAUGGGGGAAAUUUGACUUUUUGAUCGAGAAAGAAUUUGGGAAUUCCGCUUGCACCGUUGCGUAGAGCACGGCAAAACGAGUCCGUAGACACGGAGUAGACCCGAAUCGGAGUUCUAACGAAGAAAAUACGAUCAAAAUAUCGCGAAGGGCAAAACGGUAAUUUGGAAAAAAGUCAGAUUUUUAUCCCUUUCUCUCUCUCCUCCCCUCAGCUUUCUCUCUCUUCUCUCUCUCUCUCUCUCCCUCGCGCGAGCUGUCGCCAGCUCUCCCCUUCCGAUCAACGCAGCGGCCACCACAGGGCACGCCGAUCUACGGCGUUGGUACCUUCGGCUUCGUCUCGCCGCUGCCGUCACGCCACGACCAGUCUCCGCCCACGGGACGACCGGAGCUUGCCGGAAACUGGGAGAGAACCGCCGGAUUUCACCCGAUUUUCAGUCCCUUCGUUCUCCCUCGUUUCUCAACCAAAUCAAUCGAGUGAGGUAUGGAUUUUCACCUAUUUUUCGUGCUCUAACUGAUGGUUGGCUGGGUUUAGAUCGAUUUCACCUCUAGGUUGCUCAAUUUUCGAUUUGAAAAUCGGCCGAACUUUGGCCGCCGUGAUCGGCCACUUUUUGGGGUAUGUCCAAGAACAAAAAUGACUCCAAAUGGGGUGUUUUACCUAGGAUAGGAGUUUGGGGUCUUGGUUCCGAGAUUUUUCGACGAACCCUAAUCGCUUUGGACACCCGAUCUGCCCGCGCGUGUGGCGGCGCGUGGGCGAGGGUGGUGGCAUGACUCUGGACAGUUUUGAGGUCCUCGUGCCGUCAUGAGCAAGUAGGAUUUCGCGGAUCUCGAUUCGGAGUCCGUUUGAGCCCCAAACGGAUUUUCCAUAUCGCGCGAUCCUUGGGUGCAGUGUCGUUAAAUCGUUGGAUCGCGCUGAAUUUUGGAUAUGUCGGUCUAGGUGAUUUCAGGAUCGCGUAGGAUUCGACGGAUUGCGAAUCGGAGUCCCGGAUACUCCGAAAUCGCGAAUCCUGGGGCUAGGGUUUGGAUUUUAAGCGAUAAUGCGAUUUUGGCUAAUCCGACCGUCCGUUUCGGACCGAAUUCGCGGAACAUGGUUCCCUCUCUAUGAGGAACCUUCAGGGAAGCCCAGAUUGGCCAUCGGAGAUCGUGGACCCCACGGGUCCCGGGUCGGCCGAUCUGUCAGUUUAUCGCUUAGCUGAGCGUCGGACCUUCCAAAACUGGUCCAAGUGUCUGAAAGGGAUAAUGUGGGCAUAAGAGUAACUUGAAAUGAAAUGCACGUAUUUCUAGGAGCCGGGGGCAGGGUGUUUAAUUUAAAUUCUUUUUAUCCAGCAGUUUAUUAAUUUAUUAUUCUUGGAUAAUCAGGCACCAGGAGUCCAGCUAACCCACAUGAGGGACCUUCGAAGGGUCCAGCUAGCUCGGACCAGCAGUGAGUGGACUUUUCUUUCGUAAAAGAUUUUAUAAUUAUACUUUCUAUUUGAUCUUGAAUAAAUGAUAUAACAUGAAUUUUAUUGUGAAAUAUCUUUAUUUCUAUAAAAAAUUAGCCGAAUAAACAGAUUUGAGAUUCUUGAUACAGAAAUUUGUAAUUUAACUCAGAUUUACCAGAGUAUAGAGGGUAUCAUAUUUUAUCAGAGAUAGUUGUUAUAGACCACCAUGUACCCACCCUCUAUUUGGUGAUUAUCCAGAGUUGGACCGAUGUCUACGGACAUCCAGUCCGAUUUCAGUUUAUGUCAGUGCACUUGACUUUGCCUCACGAUUUCCGGGGACGCUCGGACCGUGAGUGCCAGAAUUUGCGGCUCGGCAGACUUGGUGUCCCGAGACCUGCCAGGAUUGCGGCUCGGCUGACUCUGUGUCCCCGAGACCUGCCAGGAUUGCAGAUCAGGCUGACUACGGUCCCCUGCAUCCUGCCUGAGCGACUCGAGCUGACUUGGUGUCAUCGAGGACCUGUCGGCGGAUCAGGCUGAUCAUAGUCCCCUGAUUUCGCCAGUUUGCGGCUCGGGUAGCCUGUGUGACGCCCGAGACCUGCCAGGGAAUUGACGGCUAUCACAUGGGUACAAUUAGGUGGCAGUUUUAAAGGAUUCUUUUUAAACCUUUUUAGUGCAGUUAUUGUUUCACUCAUUUCUAUCAGUAUGUUCGAUACUCAAACAUGUGUUAUACUGAUAUAUCUUUGUUUAGUAUGUGAACAUUUAUAUAGUUAUGUUUAUCUAUGUUUAAAUUAAAUGUCUCGAGUUUGAUUAUGAUCAAAUCAUAGCUUUUAUAUCCCUAUGUUUUUCAAACGGGGGUUAUUAUGUUCUAAAUUGUUUUCACGAACAUUAUUUUUGUCCACUCACCAUUUUAACCUUGUUUUUCGCCCCCAGGCCGUAGAAGAAGGAAGGAAACCACCCGGGCCAUCAUCUUAGCUCCCGCCCCACCACCGAAGCGUAGGAUCUCGUUGUAACUUUUCUUAGUUCUGUAAAUUUGUAUAGAAAGGCUCUGAUAUCUUGUUGAACAUGAGAAACUGGAGUUGAGAUUUGUUGGUUGUAUUAAUCUGGCGGUUGGUGUAUUAUUUGAGACUGUUUGAUAGGUGGAAGAUUUUGGGUUUGGUCAAAAUACAGGGGAGACUCUGCCGAAUUUUCAGCAGAAGUCUGAGGGAAAUUUUAAAAGAAAUUGAAAAAGGAAAGGGUAAAAAGGUCAUUUGUGCCCGACAUUCGCCAGGUGUCGGACACGCACAGGAUUCGGCUCAGAUUCCAAAGAGGAAAUUGGGUCGGGUCCUGUCAUUUUGAGUAGAAGUAUCACCAGCUGACGUGAUGAUAUCGUACUAUUCUAUAAUUUUUCCAGCUGGAGGGGGAGUAUUAACUAGAAGAAAUAUGAAUUCCUUAAUUAUAGGAUCUUAUAAAUUAGAGAUUGUAAUUUACUUUCUGUACAAGACUUACCUAGAAUGGCUUAGCUAUUAAUUGUAUAAGAAUUACAUCCUAUUGUAGAUUUUAAGAUCAAAUAACAUAGAGAUGUUGUAAAGUCAACAAUGUGGAUCCCAAAAUGGCAAGCCCCACUACCCAAUUGAUUGAAGAAUAUUAAUGAUGUUUGUCUGCCAAUUAUUCGAGCGAAGCCAAAUACCUGUGAAGUGAACAGCCAAUGUCUUUGGCUUAUAAAUAGAUACCUCCAUCAGGAGAAGAGGGCGCUUAGAGAAGAGGAAGAGAAGGAAGAAAGAACGUGAGUGAGUGGAGAGGAAAGAUAGCAGAGAGAAAUUCUCAAAGAGAGAAAAUUCAGUGAGCCACACAUAUUGUAAACACUAAAGUUGUAGCCCUAUUAUUUUAUAUAGUAGAAAAGUUACUACUGCUGCUCCGAGGACGUAGGCAUAACCGAACCUCGUUAAAUGUUGUGUCUCAUCUACUUUACGUGCAGCUCAAUAUUCACACAUAUUCCAGUUCAUUUUAUAACAAGAGAGAUAUUCUCCCUAGCAAUCUCCUUAUUUUUCUAACAGUAACAAACAACUUGGGAUUCCCCACCCCUUUUUUUCCGCCUAGCUUCAUUCAGGGCCUUUUUAAACUUUAUUUUCCUCUUCCAUACUAUUUAGAUCUUUUCCCCUUCACCCGUCUCAUGGCCCGACAAAGUGGUGACUGACUGGAUUAAAUAUACAGUGAAGAUUCCUCCCCUUGUUUCUUCUACGACAAAGUGGUGUCUAGAUUAACAGCUUCCUCUAAACUGGAAUCAACACCAAUACGAUGUCAGCUUUGCAUAUAGGGCUUCUGUACAUAUUGAUAUACGGAAUUGUUAUUUAUUUCCUGAAUAGAAAAAUGGGCUGAAAAAAUCAUAACUAUACUUAACAAUGUUGCUUUUGCUAAUUCGAAUUGAAGGGUGAUAUAAAAUCGGUCUAUUUCCGGCAUCAUACCCAUAGUUAGCGCAUUCAUCAUAGUUAGAAGCUCUAGCUCCGUAUCAAAGUCACGGUCGUCACUAUCAUCAAGUACAUAUCCCGUGUACAUCUAAGUACUGCUGUUCUUAAAUCUAGCUGCCUAGAACUCCAACAGAAACACACAAUGUCCCAUGAACGUAAUGAACCAAAACAAGAUCCAUACAAAAAGUCAUAGGCCAAAGAGUAGCUAAGCAGCUAGAUUUAAGAACUUAUAAUAGUGAAGAUUUCCACGUCUUCUCCAACAAUCGUUGGUCAUCACGACCAUACAUUAUUUCAAUUUCCGAAUAUGUCAGAAAUAAAUAGUAGCAAAUUACAUGCUGCAAGAAAGUCUGUAGCAAAGAGGACUAAACAAGUGAAAUCACACAACAAUUAACUCAGCUCCUGGAGGUAGUUUUUCUCCAAUCUGCAAGGCCCGCUUUCUUGUUGCCCUCAUUUUUUUCUGGGUUGUAACAAAUUCAGACAAUGGAGUGGAUUCUUCAACGACAACCUUUUUGAGAUCGAUGAUAAACGUCUCAAGCGCAACGGCAUUCUCAGUGAAGUACGUGGCAAGCUCAGUGUCGAUAAUAGACCCAACGAACCCAGAAAAUUUCACCACCUUAAGGCACUGAUGAGGACAUUUAUUAACCUUCUGCAUAUUCCUCUGACACGAGUCACGUACCCAUCUUAACUGCACGAGGACAUAACAAAAGCUUACGAAUCUACCUUGGAAAGUUGAUUCCACAUAAAUCAAUUACAAUUCACAGUUCUCAAACCAUUAUAUAAACUUCCCAACUAUUAAAAUUUUAAGAUAUACUGAAAAUAAAUUUACCUUCAAUGUAAAUCUAUGCAAGAAAGGUGACCGCUCUAUCAGUUUAGUCAAAGCAAGGAGGCUUAGCCGAUCAGUUGCGAUAACACUCAACGAUAAGUCCUUGAGACAAGUAAAUUCUGGAAAUUCUGGGAGCCACACCCCUCCUCUCUGAAAGAUGAAAAGUUAAAGUCAAAAUUUGGAAUAUAUAUAUAUAUAUAUAUAUAUAUAUGUACAUAAAUAAACAUUGAAUUAUUUCAUAUACCGACCGAAUUCAGAUUCAUGUGCAUGUUGAGAGUCACCAGCUGAGGAAUGCAACUUUUAACCGAAAGAAAAGGUUCAAUUAUAGACCUAGUACUUUCUGCAAGAGAUACAUUAACAAGCAAGGGUGCAUGCCUCAAUCGAAUACUGUCACAAUAACCCAACAUUCCCUUAUAAAUAAAUGACACGAGAUUAGGAGCCCAAAUCUCAACUAAUCCUAAAGACGUACACUCACUUAUUUGUAGGAACUUCAACCGGAGUGAUGAACCAGCAACUUUCAAUUUUACUAAUUGAUCUGAGCAAGAAAUGCAGAGAUGCUCAAGGAGUUCACAGUAGGAUAGAAAGUGCUCAACAAGUUCGCCGGUUAUAUUUACAAAGGACAAAGAGAGGUGUUUAAGGGACUUGAUGCAGGAAAUACCAAAAGGGCUUCUAAAUGGCUUAUCUGGAAAGAUAUAACUGGGAGAAGAAAAACGAGACCGUCUGCCUGCUUCCAAAUCUAUCUCAAGGCCUUGAACUCUCCUCCACAUUGCAAAUUCAAUCCAAUUGUCGAUUUCAGAACUACUAGGACUGCAAUUGAGUGAGGAAGAACGAAUUUUGAAUU
rnacentral:lncRNA from 1 species